GAAGGUUGAAACAGGGGGUCAUCCAAAAAGCAGGGACUUAGAAAGUUUUCGAAGGUUCAGGCAAGGGGUCAUCCAGGGGACUUAGAAAGUUUUCGAAGGUUCAGGCAGGGGGUCAUC